UGAAGAAUUUGUCCAACGGCGGGGGAUAGCCGGCCCAACGGCCGGGUAAUACCGCGUACGACCUUCGGGGGCGAUCCCCUGAUGGUGAAAGCCGCAAGGCGCCGAUGGAGAACUUCGCGGCCUAUCAGCUAGUUGGUGAGGUCAUGGCUCACCAAGGCGACGACGGGUAGCUGGUCUGAGAGGAUGGCCAGCCACUGGGACUGAGAUACGGCCCAGACUCCUACGGGAGGCAG
rnacentral:rRNA from 1 species